UCUCCGACCUACACUCUUCUCAGAGAAAAAGGAAUUUUGCGAACGCUUCGAGAGCAUUCUAAACAAGUGUUCUCUCGAUUUGAUCUUACUAACUAUAGAAGAACUACAAACGUCAAUUGGCGAAUUAGCCACACAGAUCAAGACAACCGAAGACCAGCUGACUUCAACUACACCGGAAGAAGAACUCUCUAAAACCAAAGAAAGGAUUAAUAAACAACUACAAGAAUAUCAAAAGUACGCGGAACAAGGAAAGAGACAGAAAUUUGUACGAGACGCUGAAGAUUACAAAUUAGAGAGAGUCUACCGCUGGAAGGGAAAUCAACAGCAACAAUAUUACAGAGGAUACAGACAUCCACACUACUCUGGUUCUUCGGCAUCAGACAGCGAUAGAUCCGGACAUCACGAACCUCGUUUUUUAGGCAACGCCCCACGGAGGGGCAGAUCAAGACGCGGAGGACCAGGCGGGGCGGGAGGAAAUCAAGAGGGACGCAUACAGACACGCUCCCAGACUCACUGAAUUGUCUACAAGCUGACGAGGAAACCCUCUCACUAUGUCAGCUUGCUCACCAUUGGAAAUCUCCUGCAGCCUCUCAUCCCUCUAUGCUUCCAUGUCACUGAACCAACUUUGUGCAGUGUUAUAAAUUGAGAUACUUGUACUUAUGAUUCUGUGCACUUGAAUACUGUGGUACAUACGAACGAUGUAUAAUAUGCCGCUUGUGCCCCCAUGCAUAUGUGAAUGUUAUAGGUGAUACCUGAUAUAUACCAAAUGUAAA